rnacentral:rRNA from 1 species
CACGUAGGAGGCGAGCGUUGUCCGGAUUUACUGGGCGUAAAGAGCGCGCAGGCGGUCGAUCAAGUCGAGUGUGAAAGCCCCCGGCUCAACUGGGGAGGGUCAUUCGAUACUGGUCGACUCGAAGGCAGGAGAGGGUAGUGGAAUUCCCGGUGUAGUGGUGAAAUGCGUAGAUAUCGGGAGGAACACCAGUGGCGAAGGCGGGUUGCUGGGCUGACACUGACGCUGAGGCGCGAAAGCUAGGGGAGCGAACGGG